AACGAACGCUGGCGGCAGGCUUAACACAUGCAAGUCGAGCGCCCCGCAAGGGGAGCGGCAGACGGGUGAGUAACGCGUGGGAACGUACCCUUUGCUACGGAAUAGCUCCGGGAAACUGGAAUUAAUACCGUAUGUGCCCUACGGGGGAAAGAUUUAUCGGCAAAGGAUCGGCCCGCGUUGGAUUAGCUAGUUGGUGGGGUAAUGGCCUACCAAGGCGACGAUCCAUAGCUGGUCUGAGAGGAUGAUCAGCCACAUUGGGACUGAGACACGGCCCAAACUCCUACGGGAGGCAGCAGUGGGGAAUAUUGGACAAUGGGCGCAAGCUUGAUCCAGCCAUGCCGCGUGAGUGAUGAAGGCCUUAGGGUUGUAAAGCUCUUUCACCGGGGAAGAUAAUGACGGUAUCCGGAGAAGAAGCCCCGGCUAACUUCGUGCCAGCAGCCGCAGUAAGAC
rnacentral:rRNA from 1 species